AAGCGCUUGCAACCAGACUUGCGCGCUGUUGAUCAUCCGAGCUUCUGCCCGGUGCACUCAGCAGCGUUCAGGCCAGCAUCGGUUUUGGUGGGCGGAUAAAGGCCUUGGGAAUGUAGCUUCUUUCGGGGAGUGUUAUAACCCAGGGUAUAAUACCCCUAAGGAGACCGAGGUUCGCGCUCUGCAAGGAUGCUGGCGUAAUGGU
rnacentral:rRNA from 1 species